rnacentral:rRNA from 1 species
UACGAAGGGGGCUAGCGUUGUUCGGAAUUACUGGGCGUAAAGCGUACGUAGGCGGAUUGUUAAGUGAGGGGUGAAAUCCCGAGGCUCAACCUCGGAACUGCCUUUCAUACUGGCAAUCUUGAGUCCGGGAGAGGUGAGUGGAACUCCUAGUGUAGAGGUGAAAUUCGUAGAUAUUAGGAAGAACACCAGUGGCGAAGGCGGCUCACUGGCCCGGAACUGACGCUGAGGUACGAAAGCUAGGGGAGCGAACGGG